rfam:Cicer arietinum chromosome Ca6, whole genome shotgun sequence.
UGGCUAUGAUUACAUAUUAUCCGCGCUUCUGAGAUUCUCGAUGAAGUAUUAAGGACUGAAACAUGGUUGAAUUUCUUUAUAUGAGCCU